ensembl:lncRNA
UUUUUUUUUUUUUUUUUUAAUACGUCAGUUAUAAGAUUACUCAGGAGGCCAAUAGAGUGCAUUAAAGGGACUCCCACGUCCUGUUUUCCUCAGCUGUGAAGCUGGGGAAGUGGCUGGAUCAGGGCUCAUACUCAUUGUAUCACAUGGAGUAAUUUCACAGCAGAGCACAAGGAAAGCGUCAGACCUCAAGUAGUAGAUUGCAAGCUGGUCACACACUGAAGAGCAUGCAACAUUUGUAUUCAGGAGGUUUUUGUCCCGGUGCUUUCUGUGUUUGAAAUUCCACUCCUUGGCUUUGUGUGGAAAGGAGUCACAAUCAAAGAUACUAAGAAAAAGCGUGGUUAAUUGGUAAAAUCUGAUAGUAGGAAACAUUGGAACAGAAUGCCUGGGGUGAUGGUGGAGUCACUGCCUGUGGAAGUGUUCGAGAAGAGCUGGUGCUGCAGGGCAUGGUUUAGUGGGGUGUACUGGUGGUAGGUGGACAGCUUAGGGGUCUUUUCUAACUUUAAUGAUUUUAUGAUUCUGUAAUACAUUAAUGUUGCUGUUUAAAUAGGAAAUUGUAAAGCCUGUCUGAGUUUGACCUUUCAAUCAUCCGUUGCCACACAAAAUGGAGAAAAGCUGUAUGGCAUCAACAUUUUUUGGGGAAAUCUUUUGUUGCCAAUGCAGUCACUGCUCACUGAAGCAAUUGCUGUCAUUUUAAACUGUCCCUGGAUUCAUGACCUGAGGACGGCUGUGAGUACACCAGGACACUUCUGGAGGGGGUGGUAUUAUUAUUUGCCACACACACAGCCCGGCUCCUGCCUCAGAACCCAGCAAAUAGAUGGAGAGGGUGUGACAGAGAUGGGCUGAAGUUGCCUGGGUUUAAAUACUGGGAAAGGGCUGGGAAGAGGCAGGAGACAGGAGGUCCAAACACGGUAAAGGUGGAGAGGAAUUUUCAGAGAAACAUUUUGCUUCCUUUCAUCAGCUGAAAGACCAAGCAGUUGCUAUUGAUGAUCAAAUAGAGCUUUCAGUGCUCUGAGAUACAGAGCUGAAGACAUCAUAUGUCCACCAGCAAGAAUGUACACUCCUAAAAUAGAAUUACCUUAGAAAAACUAAAAUUUUAAUUUCAAUUACAAUUGUUCUAUGAAAGACAGAUGUGAACUGUUACAGUGUUUAGAACGCGUUUUAACAGAGAAAAAACAAAUAUUAAUGAAAUGUGUUUCACUGAUGGGAUUUGAUUGGCAUGCUGUAUUAAUUACAGGCCUUUCACCUCUGAAACUGCUGUUCUAAUCCUGUUGGUGCUCAGGGAAAACAAUUUAAGAGUUGUUUAUAUAUUCUAAAAUGGUACAGGCAUCCUUAGGAAAAAAGAGAACUACAUUACAGCAUUGGUUUCACUAUAGUGAAAUACUCACAAAGGAGCUUCUGCCAACAUAUACAUUCCAGGCACUGUUCUACAAUCCCAGCAUACCUUGAAUAUCUACACAGUUUGCUGCAUGCAAAUAAUGUCAGUCAGACCUUUCAUGUGGAGUGAAAAUUGAAAUGGCAACCCAGUGCCUGCAGCACCGUGCAGCCGAGACCUGCAGAUGGGGUUCUCUUUACCAGCAGGUGGAGACAAGAACGCUGACCAAAGUGUUUAGAAUCAGGGAGAGAAAUCCAUUUCCCCACCGCUAACGCAACUUGUUAAAAAUCCACCAUGUAUCUUUAACAUUAUCACUAGAGUGGUUUAAAGAUCUUAAACUGCUCUCUAUUUUUAUUCCUAGCUGCUAAAGCAGAGGGUACCAUCUGGUGCCAUUUGUCUGCUUUGCUUUGCUGCCAGAAGUGCCUUCUUAACCUCUGGAGUAGAACAAUAGGUCAGGGUGUACACAGAGCCAGAGAAAAGCCCAGUUUCUCUGCUGAACAUCCCAUAUGGAAUUAAUGCAGCCCAAAAAAGAAGGAAAGGGCACCCCCAGCCACAGAGCCAGCACAAACAUUGACACUUGCUGUCAUGGAUAGCUUGGUGCUCAAGCCAGAUCCCUCCUGGCUGCACAGGAAUGCUCUGCCUGCUCCCAGUCUGGGACACCCUGUGUCCAUCUGUACCCACAAGCACAGGCAGAGCAGGUCUCUCCUAUCCGCACCUUGGAAGAGCGCACAGCUCUACUGUGGUCUGCAGAGCACCUGCAUCUUGAGAUGCACUGUGGGUGCACCAAAGUCAUUUAUGCCAUAAGCUUUCACUGAGCCAACAGACUGCACUACUGCCCAGCGAGGAUAACGGGGCAGAAGCAGCCCAAACCCUGCAGUGACCAUCCUCCCCUCCCACAGGUCAAACUUCAGCUCUCUCCCUGCUGCCAUUGGGGAUCACCUCUUCUGCCAGGGAGAGCUGCAGAGCAAGCGGUGGCUGCUGAGCAGAGCCAUGCUGAGAAAGCCCUGGGACACGGAUCCACCAGCAUCACCCACAGCCCCACUUAGCUGAACUAACAACAUUUGUUUGCAGAUGACAAGGAUGUGUCUGCCCCUGUAGUAGAAACACUCGUUUAAAACACUGUAAUGUAAUAUGUUACUUAGCCCCUGUGUCAAAAUAGAAGUGUGAUGAAUAAAACCACGGUAGGAUAAUAUUUGAACCAUAAAACCAAUUUUAGUCUCUUCUGCAUGUCCAAUGGCAGGGCAUUUUAUGGGAUUUGGAUGCAACUCCUCUAGCUCAUUAAAGUUUAUUGUCCUUGAAAAAAAAUGGAUGCGUCACUGAUGAUAGAGCCUUGGUGUUAUACUGUCAAUGCACAUUUUGUUUGAUUGGUCUUAAAUACAGUUCAGACCUUUAGACUCAGAGCUGGACUUUAGCCUUUUCCUGUAAUUAUUUGAUGUCUCGUUAACUUUUUAUGAGUAUGUCUGUUUAAAUAAGCUUAUUUGAUGUGCUUUUAUUUUGGCUGUAGCUUGCUGUAUAGGACGGGUGUACUUUUCUCUUUGUCUUUAAAAGAUAAAAAUAAAAAUCAAAGAAAAGCUGAGCAAUGGAACUGCGAGGGAAAC